CAGAUCGCCACCCGAACCCGCAGUCACCCAAACCCGCAGAUCGCCACCCGAACCCUCAGAUCGUCACCCGAACCCGCAGAUCGCCACUCGAACCCGCAGAUGGUCACCCGGCCCUGCCGAUCGCCACCCGGCCUCCCCUGUCCUAACGUUCCCGGCCCGCUCGGGCGCUGCUGCAGUCGAGGACCCAGCGCCCCGCUCUCAGCAGCGCCCGGCCCGCACGAGGCCGAGCCCCGCGCACCCCACGGACGUGUGCGCUGCGGGGCCGGGUCCCGAACACCGAGUGGGCACACGCGGGUCUCUCCCGCCCACCCCACGCGGGUGACCUCGCCCUCACGGCAGGGUGGGCAGCGUCUCGGGCGUCACAGGGGUGCAGCGCAGGGGUCACCGCGGCCUCUGCCAGGGCGACCAGGGGUGUGGGCCAGGGCACUGGUCGCAGGACAGCCGCCCACGGCGCCCACGGCCACAGCGCUGCAGCGGAGCCGGGAGGCCCGACUCACCCGUGCCGGGGGCCUGGACGAGCCAGCGAGGUCCCUGCACCCCGCAAGUGGGCCUGACAGGCCUCGCGGUGACAGGAGGCGCGGACAAAGGCCCGGCCUCUCACUGCCAGGCAGGGUAGGAGACCUGCACGUUCUUUUCCAGGCAGCACACAGACGCGUGAGUGGCCCUCCGCGGGCGCCGCAAUGAGCCCCACCGCCACCCUCAGGCGCGGGCCGCCGCUGCCAUCGUCCCCGCCGCCACACGCAGAGGGCGGGCCCCCCGUCCCCCAGGGCCCGGCGGGCUCUCUGACUCCAUCGCGUUCAGGGAACGGGCUGCGCAGCUGCGCGGUUAUGGGCUCCGAGGCCGUCUUCGGAUGGGCGAUCAGGCCGUGUCCUCCUACGGACUGUCACAUCUGCUGCGGACCAGUACUGCUGCCUCCCUGAGGGUGAGUGGGGCUCACAGGUGACAAGAGCGGUGGAAAGGCCCAGCUCGCAGGUGAAAGGGGUUUCCCAGGCCUACUGCCUUGCAGAAGAGAGAAACUGAAAACAUUUGAACGAGGCUGGAGUCCCAGUGCUGUGGUCUUCCUCAAAGCUUCCCAACGGAUGUGCUUAGAAAAACAAGAAAAUCCUGAGACAGUGAAGAAGGCAGGACAGCGCCAACCUAGGAGCCAUGGGAAUGCAGCCCACACUGAUGGGAGUUUGAAACCAUCAGCUCCUCCGAAGAAACCUGCACUUCAAAGGUUUCCAGUUCCUGGGCUCUGAGGUUGAGGGUGAAUCCAUCUGCCUCCCCAGAGAGAGUGCCUGGGAUUCUGAGUACAGAAUCAUCAGUCCCAGUCCAGACUUCAGAACGCGCAGGCGAAGUGGGGAAUUCCUAGCUCUGAGAUGAACAACAGCUUUGUGAAGACCUCCAGACAACCAAAGAAGAAGCCGGGGCCAAGUUCUGCCUACAGUGAGCACAUUCGGCGUGUUUAGCCUGUAUUCCAAGCUCUCCCAAGUUCGGAAGUUUCUUGCAAAGAUCUCUACCUUCUCUGCAGAAUUAGCCUGGCGGGAUGCUUCUAGCAUGCUUCAGAAGCCACACUCAAGAGGCCAGAAAGUGCAGAACUGCUGGAAAGAGCAAAACCUGCCCGAGGGCCAUCCAGUGGCAGACGGAACACUGCAGAUUGCUGGAGCUGAAGCAGGACUUCCACACCGAGCCACGCGCCUCAGUGCUAAGACACCUAGGAUGUAUUAUUAUGUCACGGUUUACUGUUCAUGCGUCACUCUCCCAGUGAGCAAUAAAUUCCUCGGGCUCCA